ACGUAUUAUGUGACCCGUGUCUCGUGGGAGUACAGCAGGCUUCCGGAGCUAACCGAUGUCCAUAUUGCAGGAGUCAUAUUGGCUCCUGCAUUAACAUAUAUUUAUAAGGGGCGAAGGGGGCCAGUGACGGUCUAGCGCCGUCGAGCCGUGGGCUCAAAAGCCUAUGAAUAAUGGAACCCACAUUUGGGUCAAGAACUGAGCCACGGCAAUAGGCUGACCGUCGAGCCAAGGGCUCAAAAUCCUAACCGUAUGACAGAGUCCUAAACUAGAUGGAGCACGCGAUUGCAGCCUUCGUGAAGAUUUCAUUAAACAAUGGAACUGAGUCAACUGACAAUCAGCUCAUCAAUUUUAUCAUCAGUAUGGCAAGGGCGCCGCGCUGACAAGUCGCAAGCCAUCGCUGAGUCGCUCGUCAAUAUAAGGACUUCCACAUACUUAUUAAUUAUUCUAUUUAAUACUUUUACGACUCAUUGUGAACCAUAUGAUAGUUUAAAUUAUUUUAUAUUUACAGGGACCACUGGCCUGUGACUGCUGAGUGCAGAGCCACCGAGUCAUCGUAAAAUUUAAUCACCUUCUCAUCCACUUGGAGAAGCAAACAGCAGGUUCACGUAAACGACAACUUGAAUUUGCUGGGGCCUGCCAUAACUGACAAAAAGUCUAUGGAGAAGCCACACAGUGACUGUGAUAUGAAGACAACCGACAAGCUGACUUACCUGCUGCCGCAGCAUCACCAACCAGCCUUCGUGCGCGCCUGCAUGGCCUAAGUUACCGCCUCGUGUGCAGCCUUUCCCAGCCGGAUGAAUAGGCAUGCAACCUCCCCGCGCACCAGUCCGAACAGCCCUGCUAACUGCGGCACCGUGCCUUCUGCCCUUCUCCUUCCGUGCGAUCACCAGCAUCCUCUGCAACUCUGCCAGCGUCCGCGAUGUGUCCACUGGCGUCCUAUACCGACGUACUUCAAACGCAGCGUUGUUACUAUUUAUAUUACAUGUUAUAUUACAUGGACCUAUAUAUGGGCCAAUUAGAUCAGUCAAUGAAUGCUCAAA